CAAUAGCGUAUAUUAAAGUUGUUGCGGUAAAAAAGCUCGUAGUUGGAUUUCUGUUGAGAGCGACCGGUCCAUACCAUGUAUGCGUAUCUGGCUUGCUCUCGGCAUCCUCUCGAUAGACGUUACUGCGCUUGAUUGCGUGGUGCGGAUCUCGGGACUUUUACUUUGAGGAAAUUAGAGUGUUCACGGCAGGCUUUCGCCAGAAUGCAUUAGCAUGGAAUAAUACUAUAGGAUCUUGGUUCUAUUUUGUUGGUUUCUAGAAUUGAGAUAAUGAUUAAUAGGGACAAUUGGGGGCAUUCGUAUCAACACGUCAGAGGUGGAAUUCUUGGAUUGUGUUGCGACGAACUACUGCGAAAGCAUUUGCCAAGGAUGUUUUCAUUGA
rnacentral:rRNA from 1 species